UACGGAGGGUGCAAGCGUUAUCCGGAUUCACUGGGUUUAAAGGGUGCGUAGGUGGGUCUGUAAGUCAGUGGUGAAAUCUCCAAGCUUAACUUGGAAACUGCCGUUGAUACUAUAAAUCUUGAAUGUUGUGGAGGUGAGCGGAAUAUGUCAUGUAGCGGUGAAAUGCUUAGAUAUGACAUAGAACACCAAUUGCGAAGGCAGCUCACUACACAAAGAUUGACACUGAGGCACGAAAGCGUGGGGAUCAAACAGG
rnacentral:rRNA from 1 species